CCUUUUGAAUAUCUCACCCCCAUGGCAUGAACAAUAUUUAUUAUCCAGUAAAUACAACAAAAGCUUUAAAUAAUAUACACCAAGUGCAUCCUCAGUGAAUUGAUUGGAAACCAGCCAAAAAAAAUAUUUGACUAUUUACCAUUGUUUGGCACACAUGUGUUAAUUCCUCUGACAGUAUCUGAUCUCACAAAGUGGGAAGAACGAACAGUCCAGGAGAGCAGCAACCAGUGAGGUGUCAGCAGCAGAACGAACUUGCAACGGCAGCAAGGAGUUAGAGCGAGGGAUUCGCACGCGCACG
rnacentral:lncRNA from 1 species